ACGCACGCUGGCGGCGUGCUUAACACAUGCAAGUCGAACGGAAAGGCCCUGCUUGUGUGGGGUGCUCGAGUGGCGAACGGGUGAGUAACACGUGAGUAACCUGCCCUUGACUUUGGGAUAACUUCAGGAAACUGGGGCUAAUACCGGAUAGGAGCUCCUGCUGCAUGGUGGGGGUUGGAAAGUUUCGGCGGUUGGGGAUGGACUCGCGGCUUAUCAGCUUGUUGGUGGGGUAGUGGCUUACCAAGGCUUUGACGGGUAGCCGGCCUGAGAGGGUGACCGGCCACAUUGGUACUGCGAUACGGCCCAGACUCCUACGGGAGGCAGCAGUGGGGAAUAUUGCACAAUGGGCGGAAGCCUGAUGCAGCAACGCCGCGUGCUGGAUGACGGCCUUCGGGUUGUAAACCGCUUUCGCCUGUGACGAAGCGUGAGUGACGGUAAUGGGUAAAGAAGCACCGGCUAACUCCGUG
rnacentral:rRNA from 1 species